CUUCAGCGCGCCCAGCCACAGCGGCUGCCCUUCGGCGCGCCCCUGUCCGUACGUGGCGAUCAGCGCCUGCGCCUC
rnacentral:antisense_RNA from 1 species